AAAAUGUCUAAAAGGCUGCCAGCGGCAUAUACAUACAUCGUUUUAUUGAUCGAGACAGAUCGAUAGACAUACGCGAUGUGUUGUAUAUUGAGAUAGAUCGAUAGACAGACACGAGAUGUGUUGAAGAGAAAAAUACAAACACCGACAGGACCGCGUGGGAAAUGGGGGCUCCAGGUAGUGUGAACUAAAGACUUGUGUGGCUCAACUAGCUGUGAAUUAGAAGAAAAAAAGUGGGACGUUAAUUGGUGAAAGACUAAUGGCAGAAGUCGUCAUUUCUUGACAGCAACGACGUUCAAGCGGAGGUUCGUAGUUGGCUCGAGUUGCACUUGCACUUUGCACCGCUGGGUGGCAGUGCUGCACAUUGUUUGCCAUCCAACUCCACGAGAAGAAGUUUCACGAUGACGUAAGAACGGCCCAUGUGCUUGUUCUUUGCGAGUAGAGCUGCAGCUCACCUUUAGCACGCGGCCAACUAUGUGCUAUUUCGUCCUGACUUUGGUCACGAUAUUUGAGCUGACGGAGAGUUUACGUUCUAACUGACGCAAAGUACUCUUGAUUUGAAUUGAGAGGUGCAAACGCUUUCAAAGCACGAUGUGAGGGGAAGGACGGAGUCGAGUUCGACUUACCUUAAAAGCUGAGAAGAUUCCCGCCAGCGUUGGUUUCUUGCUUGUUUCACGACACAAGCUUGGCAAAGAGGCACCAUCGUGGGAUCUAAUACUGUGCGCUUUGGGUUGGACUACCAUCACGUGAAGAGAUUGAAAGCGCAGCCUCUCCCUGUCCAGAAGGCCGUGUGCCAUGCAUUUAGGUAUAGAGGUAGAUUGGGGUCAAACCUUAUGUACUUGAAAAAACAAAAUAAACCUUGAGUCUGAAACUUAAAUGUGCAGAGCUUAAAACUUGAAAAAUAAAACUGCAUUCAAAAUAAAAACACUUGUUUGAA